rnacentral:rRNA from 1 species
CUGAACCAGCCAAGUAGCGUGAAGGAUGAAGGCUCUAUGGGUCGUAAACUUCUUUUAUAUAAGAAUAAAGUGCAGUAUGUAUAUUGUUUUGUAUGUAUUAUAUGAAUAAGGAUCGGCUAACUCCGUGCCAGCAGCCGCGGUAAUACGGAGGAUCCGAGCGUUAUCCGGAUUUAUUGGGUUUAAAGGGAGCGUAGGUGGACUGGUAAGUCAGUUGUGAAAGUUUGCGG